GUGGUCAGGAGUUGGGUCCUCUUCUCUAGCUCCAUGCGUCUCCAGGCUCGGGGGUUUUAAAGGCUGGUGUGCCCCAGGGUUGGCUGCUGGUGCUGCGAUCCGCGGGAGACUUGCCCACAAAGGAAAGGCGUAUCCAGGUAGCCAGAGAAUCCCAAAGCCAAACCUAGCCGAAGAGGAUGCAAAAACAAAACCACCCGAAGCGGUCUCCGCAUUUCCAGAAGACUAAGUUCAAAGUCUCCAGGCAGGGCGCAUUUUAGGUCUUGAGGUGUACGUCCACGUCAGGGGGCAGGUUCGGCAUCUGCUGCUUCUCAGCCUCAGGAGACUCAAGACGGAAGUCCGAGGGUGGCAGCCGUGCGGUACCACGGCUGGAGCCAGCCGGCCUCUGCCUCUGCCUCCCCGGGUCUGGCUUCCGAGGUGGGUUCGCGGGCACUGGCAGGUGCCGGGGAAACUUGCCGGCACGCCGUCCGCCGCCUCUGGACGCCCGGGCAGCCCCGCACUGGAGCUGGAACGAGUCCUGGCAGCCGGCUCCGCGGGAGCUCCCGGGCGGCGAUCAGACGCGAGCGAUCUACCCGCGGCUCGCGGAUGCCUCGGCCCAGGAGCUGCGCGCCGCCCGCCCCAGCCCCGCCCCGGCCCGCGGAGCGCCCCGGCCCGCCUCGCUCCUCAUGACCGUCUCCUAAUUAGCUCAGAAGACUGCAACUCGCCGGCUAGCAAAGACACCCACGUUGACAAUGGGCUCAAGCCAUUUACAGCCGGAAGAUGCUCUGAAUGAAGUAUCUACUCCAACUUCAUGUUACAGAGGAGGGAACUGAAGCAGAAAGGAUGAAGGAGCUGUGAAGCCACCACACCUCAACGCUCUGCCCAAGGAGGUGCAUGGAAGAGGAAUUCCUGGAGGGGCUGCCUAGAAACCAGUGGCUGAGGAUGACAUCCUUGCAAAUGGCACCAAGCCCCCUAACAGCGGUUGCUGCAGUGCCAGCUUGGGACAUCCUGACCACAAAGCAGCU
rnacentral:lncRNA from 1 species